rnacentral:misc_RNA from 1 species
CUUUUGUAUGUUAAUUUCGUCAUUUCCUUCUCAAAAUUUUCUCAUUUUCUUUCUCUCCAUCUUAAUCCAUCCUUCCUACUUAACAAUCCAGGAAUCUCAUGACCUGAAUUAGGUGCGUAUUUGCAUCUCAAUCUAUCUGAUACUAGUUAGAUUUUCAUUUUUGAUGUAUACUGUUGGAAUUUGGGAUUGGUAGAUCCGGAUCGAGGAGGAAGUGAAUAG